UAUUGGUCAAUGGGCUUACGCCUGAACCAGCCAAGUCGCGUGAGGGAUUAAGGCCCUACGGGUCGUAAACCUCUUUUGCCGGGGAGCAGGGCGGCGGACGUGUCCGCCGUUUGAGAGUACCCGGAGAAAAAGCAUCGGCUAACUCCGUGCCAGCAGCCGCGGUAAUACGGAGGAUGCGAGCGUUAUCCGGAUUUAUUGGGUUUAAAGGGUGCGCAGGCGGUCUGUUAAGUCAGCGGUCAAAGCCCGGGGCUCAACCCCGGCCCGCCGUUGAAACUGGCAGUCUCGAGUUGGAGAGAAGUGUGCGGAAUGCGCGGUGUAGCGGUGAAAUGCAUAGAUAUCGCGCAGAACUCCGAUUGCGAAGGCAGCAUGCCGGCUCCACACUGACGCUGAGGCACGAAAGCGUGGGUAUCG
rnacentral:rRNA from 1 species